rnacentral:lncRNA from 1 species
GUUGCCUAUGGAUUACAUUACAGCACACUACAACCUCGAACUCCUGGGCUCAAGUGAUCCUCCUGUGCUAGCCUCUCAAGCAGCUAGGACUACAGUUUUACUUGCUUCCAACAGGAAGGCAAGUUUUCCUCCUUCCAUGACGAUGAAAGGCAGGUAACUCCUUUAUGGAAUUUGAGCUGGCUUCCAACAGGGAAGAUGAGGUUUUUUUUCCUGCCUCUAGAAUAGUAGAGAGCAGUCUACAGCCUGAGACCCAUCACUAGGACACAAUUGAAGAAACUGGUAGUUUUACCAAGGCUUUGACUGGAAUGGUGCACUUUCCUAUAAGGAAUCAAACUUGACUUAAGAAGCCAAUAAAGCCCUUGGAAAAACUGGCCUCAUAUUUUGUGUACACAGUCCGUGUACAGGGUUUCUGGCCUGUGGACAUGAGACUUCACAACCUGCUAAAAAUCUUCGUUCGGGACCUACCUGUCUAGGAAUAAACCAUCCUUGCCAUGAGAGAUCAAAUGAAACCUGAGACCAGAGAUUCAUUUUCUUGUAAAAUGCCUUCUCCAAAAGAUUUUUGAAAAGAAAGGGGGGAAAUAUGAAAGGAAAUUAAAGCUUGGGGCCCCCAAAUCACUAAG